rnacentral:pre_miRNA from 1 species
ACAUGAAUCACCCCGGGAUCCUGUUAAAAUGCAGAUUCUGAUUCAGCAGGUCUGGGACGAGACCUGGGAGUCUGCAUUUCUAGCAAUCUCCCAGGUGAGGAAGAU